rnacentral:misc_RNA from 1 species
GAUGAAGAACGCAGCAAACUGCGAUACUUGGUGUGAAUUGCAGAAUCCCGUGAACCAUCGAGUUUUUGAACGCAAGUUGCGCCCGAAGCCUUUUGGCCGAGGGCACGUCUGCCUGGGCGUCACGCAUCGCGUCGCCCCCCACAAUUCUCCGUAAAGGGAACGUGUGUUUUGGGGGCGGAUAUUGGUCUCCCGUGCUCAUGGCGUGGUUGGCCGAAAUAGGAGUCCUUUCGAUGGACGCACGAACUAGUGGUGGUCGUAAAAACCCUCGUCUUUUGUUUCGUGCUGUUGCUCGCAAGGUAAACUCUUUAAAAACCCCAAUGUGUCGUCUCUUGACGACGCUUCGACCGCGACCCCAGGUCAGGCGGGACUACCCGCUGAGUUUAAGCAUAUCAAUAAGCGGAGGA